UCGAACGGACUCAUACUGAAACCUAGUGAUUUAUGAGUUAGUGGCGGACGGGUGAGUAACGCGUGGAUAACCUGCCGUAUACCGGGGGAUAACACUUAGAAAUAGGUGCUAAUACCGCAUGAGCGCACAGCUCCGCAUGGGGCGGUGUGAAAAACUCCGGUGGUAUACGAUGGAUCCGCGUCUGAUUAGCCAGUUGGCGGGGUAACGGCCCACCAAAGCGACGAUCAGUAGCCGGCCUGAGAGGGUGAACGGCCACAUUGGGACUGAGACACGGCCCAGACUCCUACGGGAGGCAGCAGUGGGGAAUAUUGCACAAUGGGGGAAACCCUGAUGCAGCGACGCCGCGUGAGUGAAGAAGUAUCUCGGUAUGUAAAGCUCUAUCAGCAGGAAAGAUAAUGACGGUACCUGACUAAGAAGCCCCGGCUAACUACGUGCCAGCAGCCGCGGUAAUACGUAGGGGGCAAGCGUUAUCCGGAUUUACUGGGUGUAAAGGGAGCGUAGACGGCAGCGCAAGUCUGGAGUGAAAUGCCGGGGCCCAACCCCGGAACUGCUUUGGAAACUGUGCGGCUCGAGUGCGGGAGAGGUAGGCGGAAUUCCUAGUGUAGCGGUGAAAUGCGUAGAUAUUAGGAGGAACACCAGUGGCGAAGGCGGCUUACUGGACCGUAACUGACGUUGAGGCUCGAAAGCGUGGGGCGCAA
rnacentral:rRNA from 1 species